GUCUAUCACAACAACAUCGUUCCAAGAAAGAAAGCAUAAUAUUAUUAUCCUUUUUGUGUUUUCAGCUGAAUACUUGAUUUAACUUGAACUCAGCAAGAUAUCCAAACAGGAAAAAUAAGGCAAAGUAGUGUUAUUCUGAGUAGAUCUGCCUGGCGGGAUUGAAAGCGAAGGCAGAUAGCAGUGUCGGUCCAAAAUUGCUUGCAUGGAAAAACAACACACAUUACAUUUUAAAUAGUAAAAGGCUAAAAGUAAACAAUAGCAAUAAAUACAGAUGAAAUAAAGACAGGAAUUAGGUUCAUUAUUGAGAUUGAUGCAAAUUAAUGUCAAAAUGUCACUGAAAAACAAUACCGAGUGUUUACGUAGUCUUAGAAUGUGUCUUCGGAACAGGUUUCGGAGUGAUUUUCAAGCAUUUACCCCCCUUAGGACCCCAAGUGCAACAGCCCAAUUGCAAACAGCCC